rnacentral:misc_RNA from 1 species
CAUGUCUGCCCGCACAGGUGUGGAUCACAGCGCGUACGUCGCUGCACGCGCGCCUCGUCGCAAGUCCUUCGCUUGCGUGCUCCCUCUGCAUCGUCGCGGCUCAUCGGCCCCUUUUCUUUGCCGACGAGCAAAGAAGCGUGCCGCGGGCGCCUCGCGUUGCCGACCGGUGCUCUCGCCACUCCAUCGUCACCCGCCGCUCGCCCGCCCGCUCUCCUCUGCCAGUUCGUCUUUGGGGUUGCCGCCGUUCCUUGUGUGAUCCUCGCUCCGCCGUUGUAAGGUGUCCCCCCCCCUUUUUCGUCUUCCUCGAGCACGACCGAUUAACGCGUUGACGGAACUCGCCGCCCUCCUCUCCGAUUUCGUGCUUGGGAUCACUGCUCGACCGUCGUUGCUCCCGCACACCACUGCACACGAAGAGGGAGGGGACCAACGAAAAUGGAUCAGAUCAAGGAGUACUACCAACGCUGGUGCGACAUGCCGCAGCCACGCAAGAUUAGGGUCAUCAACCUCGUCGCCUUCGCGUGCUACUUCCUCUUUCUGCUUCUGCUCGUCAUAUAUGCAUUUGGGCGGACUGGGCAGCGGACUUUGAUCAUUGUGCCCACUGUUCUCUUCACCGACGGCACGCCGUACAACAUGCAGAUGAUUCGCUAUCUUGCUCAGCGCCGCGAUGUCAUCAUCAGCAUGAUUGUCGUGAGCAACAACGCACUUGCUGUCGAAAAGCUGCGCUCGAAUGUGGGUAACGUCGAGGGCAUCCUCAGUGCGCUCCAAGCGGAGGGGUACACGAAGACGGUCCCGGUGUACGCAUCGCAUACGUCCUCCCCCAACAGCUUCGAGGCGCCGCUGGACGAGAUGCUGGCGAAGCAGUCCGUGAAGUUUGUCAUUGUCGGCCCGUGCACGGAGGCGGCGCACUUUUUGAUGGCGUACCCGGCGCACCGCUCUAAUAUCGUCGACAUCUUCGUCGCCGGUGGCGCCUUCAACAAGGCCGGCAACGCCAACUACCUCUUCAGGGCGAACGCGAAGGCGGAGCGGAACUUCUACCUGGAUCCCAAGGCGGCGGGCUACAUUACGGAGGCUUCGCACAGUCGGCCCGUGACACUGUUUCCUAUCGACGUGACCGUCGCAUGGACGGAGGAGGCCUAUGCAGCCAUUGUGUCGAAUCCUUCCUCCACGGCCGCGAGCGUCGAGACGGUGGCGACAGGGCUGCGGUGGUACUACCAAACUGUCGACAGCACGCGCAGCACAACGGUGGGUUUGAUGGCAGCCGCCUACGCGUCCGAUGCGCAGGUUCGGGAAACCGCCCUGUACACCUCCAUUCCUGUCCGCGUGCGGACGGCAGAGACGAACAUGACGAAUGGCCAGUCGUACCGUCCCGCCUCGGGUACGCCGGUGCGCGUCAUGCUGAGCGUGGCGGCAGACACCUUCUUUAGUCACCUGGUCAACGUGGACAAGCUGCCCCUGGCGUAGUAGCGCAUCUGUCGCUCGAUGAGCGGUUUUGCGGCGUACGCCGGAUCGAGAGAAGGCUGCGGCGAGAAAAGAAAAAGGUCAAAGGCGAAUGCGUGCCCCAAGUGGGAUGUAUCGCCUGUGCGCUCUGGCUGGUGUGGCAGGUUGGCUUUUAGGAGAGUUCCACGAGCCGGAACGCGACGGGGAUGGGCAGGCAUGUGGAAACGGUGGCCAGUGGAGGUGGGGGGGGAGAACGAGGGUGCGCAUCUACGCGACGCAGCGGGACUCGUGUUGUUACUCUGCCGCGCUGUUGAGUGCCAUCCGGAGUUCCCUCGUCGAUGCAUCGCUUGUAGGCUGGUGUGUGUGUAUGUGUGUGAGUGUGAGUGUGUGUGUGUGUGUGUGUGUGUGUGUGUGGCUCAGUUACGGGUACGUUCGACCGCCGCCCCUUUCGGUUUCACAGCCUCGCGCGCCACCGCGGCCGUCGCCUCGACGGCACCCAUUGGUUGCAACGUGCGCAGCACACGGCGGGUGUCUGUCGAGGUGUUGGUGCCAAAAACAUGCACCCUAGGGUGGAGGUGUGCCGUGCACCGUGGAGAAAGACGCGAAAACUCACAGACAAAGGAACGGGGGCUUGUGCAGCAGUGUUGCGUGUUAGGGCCCCCUCGUCUCGCCUCAGCAUCUCGUUUGCUUGAAGGAGGAGGCACGCAGAGGGGGCGGGUGGAACAUCUACCGUCCUCUUGCGGCUCGUGCCUCCCGUAUGAUGGCAUGGGGAGG